ACUUACUUGGGAACACCUUUUAAGGCAGCUGCUAGUUCCAAGGCUUUGAUCCAUCUCUCCAUGUCCCCUUGAUUGUCAGAAGCGAAAAAACAAGUCUUCAUGUUGUUGUGCUCAGCCUUGAAGGAGAAUUUCUUGUUGGUUUCUCCAAGCACACACCGGGAUAUCUGGUAGCUGGGCAACAGGAUGGAGCUAACAGAAUGACGCUCCUUGUCAUCUAUAAUAGGCAACAAGAGAGAAAUUCAAUAAUCUUUCACUGAAAGGCUGCUCAGCUUCUUUUGUUUUCUUAUAUUUGGAGAAAAUGGCACAUAAAUUUUGGACAAAAAAUAAGAAGAAAGAGAGAUUGGUCUAUAACCUAUUUAGGCCUCCUUAAACCUUACGUGGGGCUAUACUUACUGGGGGUCUGUGUCCAGGACUGUUUGGGGGAGAGGCGGCAGAAGUUGGCGAUCUGAAAUGUCAAUUUCAACACUCAUUUGAAUAAGUUAUUUACUGAG
rnacentral:sRNA from 1 species